AUUGUAGCGUGCUGCCACAAUACACUCACAGUUGACAAUCUCUACUCAGUUGGAUAUUUGUAACAUACAUAUUUUUUUCUUCAAAAUAAUGGUUCUUUUCAAGAAUAUGGCUGGUAUAAAUCUGUAUUUGUUUUUAACUUUAAAAACAAAUUAUUGUCAUGAAAUACUUGAUCACUGUAUCUCCCAUGCCAGUGAUGUCAUCGUCCUUUGAUGUGAUGUCAUCGUCCUUUGAUGUGAUGUCAUCGUCCUUUAAUGUGAUGUCAUCGUCCUUUGAUGUUUUUACACAUUCUGGAACAUUAGGCUAGUUUGGAUCGACACAUUGUAGCGUGCUGCCACAAUACACUCGCGGUUGACAAUCUCUACUCAGUUGGAUAUUUGUAACAUACAUAUUUCUUUCUUCAAAAUAAUGCUUCUUUUCAAGAAUAUGGCUGGUAUUAAUCUGUAUUUGUUUUUAACUUUAAAAACAAAUUAUUGUCAUGAAAUACUUGAUAAUUGUAUCUCCCAUGCCAGUGAUGUCAUCGUCCUUUGAUGUGAUGUCAUCGUCCUUCGAUGU